CCUACGGGUGGCAGCAGUGAGGAAUAUUGGUCAAUGGGCUUACGCCUGAACCAGCCAAGUCGCGUGAGGGAAGACUGCCCUAUUGGUUGUAAACCUCUUUUGUCAGGGAGCAAUUGGCGCUACGUGUAGCGUUAUCGAGAGUACCUGAAGAAAAAGCAUCUGCUACCUCCGUGCCAGCAGCCGCGGUAAUACGGAGGAUGCGAGCGGUAUCCGGAUUUAUUGGGUUUAAGGGGUGCGUAGGCGGAAUGCCAAGUCAGCGGUAAACUCUCGGGGCUCAACCUCGCUCCGCCGGUGAAACUGGCGUGCUUGAGUGGGCGAGAAGUAUGCGGAAUGCGGGGUGUAGCGGUGAAAUGCAUAGAUAUCACGCAGAACUCCGAUUGCGAAGGCAGCAUACCGGCGCCCAACUGACGCUGAAGCACGAAAGCGUGGGGAGCAAACAGGAUUAGAUACCCCAGUAGUC
rnacentral:rRNA from 1 species